rnacentral:rRNA from 1 species
CCCGAAACCCGGUGAUCUAGCCAUGGGCAGGUUGAAGGUUGGGUAACACUAACUGGAGGACCGAACCGACUAAUGUUGAAAAAUUAGCGGAUGACUUGUGGCUGGGGGUGAAAGGCCAAUCAAACCGGGAGAUAGCUGGUUCUCCCCGAAAGCUAUUUAGGUAGCGCCUCGUGAACUCAUCUUCGGGGGUAGAGCACUGUUUCGGCUAGGGGGCCAUCCCGGCUUACCAAACCGAUGCAAACUCCGAAUACCGAAGAAUGUUAUCACGGGAGACACACGGCGGGUGCUAACGUCCGUCGUGAAGAGGGAAACAACCCAGACCGCCAGCUAAGGUCCCAAAGUCAUGGUUAAGUGGGAAACGAUGUGGGAAGGCACAGACAGCCAGGAUGUUGGCUUAGAAGCAGCCAUCAUUUAAAGAAAGCGUAAUAGCUCACUGGUCGAGUCGGCCUGCGCGGAAGAUGUAACGGGGCUAAACCAUGCACCGAAGCUGCGGCAGCGACGUUUAGGCGUUGUUGGGUAGGGGAGCGUUCUGUAAGCCGUUGAAGGUGACCUGUGAGGGUUGCUGGAGGUAUCAGAAGUGCGAAUGCUGACAUAAGUAACGAUAAUGCGGGUGAAAAACCCGCACGCCGGAAGACCAAGGGUUCCUGUCCAACGUUAAUCGGGGCAGGGUGAGUCGACCCCUAAGGCGAGGCUGAAAAGCGUAGUCGAUGGGAAACAGGUUAAUAUUCCUGUACUUGGUGUUACUGCGAAGGGGGGACGGAGAAGGCUAGGCUGGCCGGGCGACGGUUGUCCCGGUUUAAGCGUGUAGGGGGAGUGACCAGGUAAAUCCGGUUGCUUAUCAACCCUGAGGCGUGAUGACGAUGCACCACGGUGCAGAAGCAGUUGAUGCCAUGCUUCCAGGAAAAGCCUCUAAGCAUCAGGUAACAUUAAAUCGUACCCCAAACCGACACAGGUGGUCAGGUAGAGAAUACUCAGGCGCUUGAGAGAACUCGGGUGAAGGAACUAGGCAAAAUGGUGCCGUAACUUCGGGAGAAGGCACGCUGGCGUUAGGGGAAAGGACNNNNNNNNNGAGCUGAAGCCAGUCGCAGAUACCAGCCGGCUGCAACUGUUUAAUAAAAACACAGCACUGUGCAAACACGAAAGUGGACGUAUACGGUGUGACGCCUGCCCGGUGCUGGAAGGUUAAUUGAUGGGGUCAGCCGCAAGGCGAAGCUCUUGAUCGAAGCCCCAGUAAACGGCGGCCGUAACUAUAACGGUCCUAAGGUAGCGAAAUUCCUUGUCGGGUAAGUUCCGACCUGCACGAAUGGCGUAAUGAUGGCCAGGCUGUCUCCACCCGAGACUCAGUGAAAUUGAACUCGCUGUGAAGAUGCAGUGUACCCGCGGCAAGACGGAAAGACCCCGUGAAACUAUACUAUAGAUUGACAC